AUAUAUAUAUAAGAAAAAUAGAGUAUAUAUACAAAAUAACAUUUGACUUGAAAAGAAUAAACAAAAUAACCUUGGACCAAAUAGUACUAGUCUGGUAGAGAAAUUUUGGUAAUGAGACUUUAGCCAUGGAGUUCUCUUUCUCUCUUCAUCUUUGACACAACUCAUCUUCAUCUUCAGGUUCACCAUGUCAUUUUCUUUUUCUCUUUUGCUCUCUCUCUCCUAGAAUAUCUUCACCACCUCUCAUAUAAUAUAUCAUCAUAUCUCUUUAUUUUGUUCACCUACAUGUUCCUAUCUUUCUUUUUCCAUAGAAAUCUCUCUAUCUCUCAUUCUCUCUUUUCUCUUUUUGCCUGAAUUCUCCAUCAUUGUCGUUGUGAUAAGAGAUUAGAUAUGAUUUUAAAACAAAUGUAUGAUUCUUAAAAUGCAUGUAUUUUAAGAACAAAACAUGCUAUUAACACUGAUAUAUUAAU
rnacentral:sRNA from 1 species